rnacentral:rRNA from 1 species
AUUGAACGCUGGCGGCAGGCCUAACACAUGCAAGUCGAGCGAGCGGCGGACGGGUGUGAAAUGUCUGGGAAACUGUCUGAUGGCGGGGGAUAACUCCUGGAAACGGUAGCUAUUAUCGCACAUCCCAUGAUGUGCCCAGAUGGGAUGAGCUAGUAGGUGGGGUAACGGCUCACCUAGGCGACGAUCCCGAGCUGGUCUGAGAGGAUGACCAGCAACACUGGAACUGAGACACGGUCCAGACUCCUACGUGAGGCAGCAGUGGGGAAUAUUGCACAAUGGGCGCAAGCCUGAUGCAGCCAUGCCGCGUGUGUGAAGAAGGCCUUCGGGUUGUAAAGCACUUUCAGCGGGGAGGCGUUACCCGCAGAAGAAGCACCGGCUAACUCCGUGCCAGCAGCCGCGGUAAUAC